ACCGCGAUAGCCCAGCCGGCAGAGCACCUGUUUGGUGAGUGGAGGGUCGCCGGUUUAAUUCCGGCUCGCGGAG
rnacentral:tRNA from 1 species